UAAAUGUUUUUGAAGUAUACUGAUAUUUCUAUAGGAAGAUAACUUCUUAUGCAAAAUAUUAUUAAGCUUGAAAAUGUGUUUGUUUGAAUAUAAUCAUCUGAAAAGUUUGAUUAAAGGGUGUUUGAAAUUUCCUGAUUUUUUUGUCAAUGGGGGACACAUAUUCGCCGUUUUUACACAUCUAUUUAAAACCAUAUAACCGCAGCUUUAAACAACAUUGAUCAAAUCAAUUUCAUUAUAGAUGAAUCGCAGAUAUUUCAAUGGUGUUAAGAACUGAAAUUUAGGGCAUUCAGUCAUAGAAUUACUUAGAAAUACUUCUUUGAUUUCGUGUCUUUUCUUCAGGAAAUUGACCGAAAAUCGUUCUCCGUUUUUCGGACCUUUUCAGUAGGUGCCGCAAUUUUGUCUCAGUUUUAAGAAAUAAUCAUAUUUGUUAUAUAAUAUCAUUUACCGGUAUACAUAUGUCUUCCAUUUCAGCCAUCCUUUGAAGUUUUUUCACCUCAAAAUCAUAAAAUGGCGAAAUUGUGUCCCCGGCGAAUAAGGGCACCCCA
rnacentral:lncRNA from 1 species